rnacentral:rRNA from 1 species
CGGUAAUACGUAGGGUCCAAGCGUUAAUCGGAAUUACUGGGCGUAAAGCGUGCGCAGGCGGUUGUGCAAGACCGAUGUGAAAUCCCCGAGCUUAACUUGGGAAUUGCAUUGGUGACUGCACGGCUAGAGUGUGUCAGAGGGGGGUAGAAUUCCACGUGUAGCAGUGAAAUGCGUAGAGAUGUGGAGGAAUACCGAUGGCGAAGGCAACCCCCUGGGAUAACACUGACGCUCAUGCACGAAAGCGUGGGGAGCANACAGGAUUAGAUACCCUGGUAGUCCACGCCCUAAACGAUGUCAACUAGUUGUUGGGGAUUCAUUUCCUUAGUAACGUAGCUAACGCGUGAAGUUGACCGCCUGGGGAGUACGGUCGCAAGAUUAAAACUCAAAGGAAUUGACGGGGACCCGCACAAGCGGUGGAUGAUGUGGAUUAAUUCGAUGCAACGCGAAAAACCUUACCUACCCUUGACAUGCCACUAACGAAGCAGAGAUGCAUUAGGUGCUCGAAAGAGAAAGUGGACACAGNUGCUGCAUGNCUNUCGUCAGCUCGUGUCGUGAGAUNUUGGGUUAAGUCCCGCAACGAGCGCAACCCUUGUCUCUAGUUGCUACGAAAGGGCACUCUAGAGAGACUNCCGGUGACAAACCGGAGGAAGGUGGGGAUGACGUCAAGUCCUCAUGGCCCUUAUGGGUAGGGCUUCACACGUCAUACAAUGGUGCAUACAGAGGGUUGCCAAGCCGCGAGGUGGAGCUAAUCCCAGAAAAUGCAUCGUAGUCCGGAUCGUAGUCUGCAACUCGACUACGUGAANCUGGAAUCGCUAGUAAUCGCGGAUCAGCAUNCCGCGGUGAAUACGUUCCCGG